rnacentral:rRNA from 1 species
UACGAAGGGGGCUAGCGUUGCUCGGAAUCACUGGGCGUAAAGGGUGCGUAGGCGGGUCUUUAAGUCAGGGGUGAAAUCCUGGAGCUCAACUCCAGAACUGCCUUUGAUACUGAGGAUCUUGAGUACGGGAGAGGUGAGUGGAACUGCGAGUGUAGAGGUGAAAUUCGUAGAUAUUCGCAAGAACACCAGUGGCGAAGGCGGCUCACUGGCUCGAUACUGACGCUGAGGUGCGAAAGCGUGGGGAGCAAACAGG